CCAAAACUUAAGAUGCCAAUAUAAACUGCUGAGGGAUCUUCACUCUUGUCUCUUCUCUGAGGACACGAACACGGUGAACAGUGGGACUUGUCUUCAGCUUCAAGUGGAACAGCUCUGACCUGUAUGGUGAUCAGACCCGGAGAGGAGAGACACCUGGUCUAACAAGGUGACGGACGGUUGAAAGGGCGAAUCACCAAGACAAACAAGAUGAGCCAAGCAAUGGAGACGAGCCGCCACAGGAGCCUGAAGGGAAAGUAACGAGAGCAGCCAGGAGCUGAAAGUGUGGGCAGAGGAACCGGUUGCUGAGGACGAGUUGGACGACAAUUUCUUGAAUCGAAUCCUGAUUUCCUGUAAUCAAGUUUUGUGGACUGACAUGUUGCCUGAUUGGUGCUCAGCCCAGGACAGGAAGGCUCUGCAGCCGGUGAUCCAUCCAUCCACAGAGCAUCAGUGACAGAGGAGAGGUGAGGUGUCUGCUCAGAGCUCAAAGAAUACUGAAAGAGACUAAAGGAAAUAGAAGUAACCGCUGACGUAGACUCCCAAACAUCCUCAACAAAAUAGACUGCUUUGGUUUCUGUC
rnacentral:lncRNA from 1 species